UUGGAUUGAAGAAUUGCAUAGCUUUGGAGCCUUACACUAGUUGGGUGAAGAAGAGAUCAAAGUAAUUCAAGAUGACAUAUGCUUAUGAAAGACUUAUAUCCUUAGUAAUGGUCAAAUCAGGCACUAUUAAAGGCAUAACGGAGUUGCAAGAGGCUUUGGAUAGGAUGAAGUAAGAGAGGGACGAUUGGGAAGGCAAAUUUCACACCUCACACCUUGAGAAAGUAGAAUUGCAUAAGCAGCUAGAGGAGAAGG
rnacentral:lncRNA from 1 species